ensembl:lncRNA
CAGCAAUAUGCUGAGUCAUUCCAAGCAGAGAGAAAGCCAAACCCAAUGGAAGCCAGAGGGGAAAGAACCCCAUUGAUGCAGGUGAACCAGAAGUCUGAAAACGGGCACUUGGGAGGUCAGAGGAAAACCAUAAGUGGGUAGCAUUCUCCAAGACUAAGGAGCUGGUGGAAAGGAACUCAGGGCAAAGCCAGUGACCAGGUCUGGUAAAUGGAGGUCACGGAGGUCCUUGGACAGAGAAGGGUCAGCGGUGUGGUGGAACCAAGAGCACAGUGUGCCUGGCUAGAAG